rnacentral:rRNA from 1 species
CUCAACCUGGGAAUGGCAUUCGAUACUGUCCAGCUAGAGUCUGGUAGAGGGAAGUGGAAUUUCCGGUGUAGCGGUGAAAUGCGUAGAUAUCGGAAGGAACACCAGUGGCGAAGGCGACUUCCUGGACCAAGACUGACGCUGAGGUGCGAAAGCGUGGGUAGCAAACAGGAUUAGAUACCCUGGUAGUCCACGCCGUAAACGAUGAGAACUAGCCGUUGGACCCAUUUAAGGGUUUAGUGGCGCAGCUAACGCAAUAAGUUCUCCGCCUGGGGAGUACGGCCGCAAGGCUAAAACUCAAAGGAAUUGACGGGGGCCCGCACAAGCGGUGGAGCAUGUGGUUUAAUUCGAUGCAACGCGAAGAACCUUACCUGCCCUUGACAUCCUCGGAACUUGAUAGAGAUACCUUGGUGCCUUCGGGAGCCG